UGGGGGGAUCUAAGUUGCGGAUUGAAGGAUACACUGAUUUAGACUUAUGUUUGAUCCUAAUGAUAGAAGAUCUACAUCAAGGUGUGUGUUCAUAUGCAAUGGUGGUGCUACUAGUUGAAAGAGUUUCAAGUAACUUAUUAUUAUGGAUUUGAUAAUGGAAGCUGAGUAUAUCACUACCUCGGAUGCUGCAAAGAAAAUCUUCUGGUAUAAAAAAUUUAUCAUGGAACUUGGUAU
rnacentral:lncRNA from 1 species